CUAAAAUUAGAACAGUACAGAGAAGAUUAGCAUGGCCUCUGUGUAAGGGAUGACAUGAAAAUUCAUAAAGCAUUCCAUACUUAA
ensembl:snRNA U6 U6 spliceosomal RNA